CCUCUCCUAAUAUUUUUUGGAGAAUAUGCUCUCCAUCCUUGUCCUAAUUUUAUCAAAUUGAUAUAUGAUUUCCCUUUACCAUAGGUUGUCCCUUCUUGUUGUCAUUCUUAUUGGAGGAUUAAGGAGUAGACCUUGUUCAUUGUUCGCAAUGGUUCCAUGAGUAGAAUUUGGGACUUAAUGAUGUUGUAUUGGUCAUUAAAUCCCUUUAGGAAGCAGAUGAAAUACUCUAUUUCCCUAUAGUUCUUGAUGGUCAUUGAGUCCCUUUAUGGAAGUUUUAACAAUUUUAACAAUAGGGAAGGAUGA